UACGUGCGCGAUCGUUGUACGACAUCGAGUUGCUGUUGAUCCUGUUUUGUGAUUUUUUUGCGUUUUCGCCACUAUUAUAACUGCUCCUGUUAUAUGAUUUUACGGUGCUUGCAAGCACGUAGUUGUUUAAAAACGUUGACAUAUCGCUCUUGCGAUGCGCUCAUUGAGAAUUAAAUUCUUACACCUUUAAGUACUAUUCGCGUCAGUAAAUUUUUCCUGGUACAAUUGUCAUGCCAAAUACUUCAUUCGCAUUACAUUCACAUCAACCAGUCAUCAUUAUUAGUAUUGCUAAGAGACGAAGGAAAUUUUUAAAAUUUUUAAGAACAAUUUCUACAACUAGAUAUGAUUUGUGAUUUUUUGACGUAUGAUUGAAAGAAAUCGGUCCGAUCAGUGCUAAGAAAAAGUGGCAUACAUAAAAAAAAACACAUCUUAGUAAAAUUAAUACCUUCUCAGCUUCGCCUCAAAAUCACCAGUGAAUUACGACCCCUAAUUGAUUCAAUAUACUGUCUUUUACAUCAUUAAGUACUUUAUAAUAUAUCAUGGCAUACAUGUUUCUGAAUGCUAAAUAAAUAAAAAUAUUAUUAAUUGAUUAAAAUUAA